GAUGAACGCUGGCGGCGUGCCUAAUACAUGCAAGUCGAGCGAACAGACGAGGAGCUUGCUCCUCUGACGUUAGCGGCGGACGGGUGAGUAACACGUGGAUAACCUACCUAUAAGACUGGGAUAACUUCGGGAAACCGGAGCUAAUACCGGAUAAUAUAUUGAACCGCAUGGUUCAAUAGUGAAAGACGGUUUUGCUGUCACUUAUAGAUGGAUCCGCGCCGCAUUAGCUAGUUGGUAAGGUAACGGCUUACCAAGGCGACGAUGCGUAGCCGACCUGAGAGGGUGAUCGGCCACACUGGAACUGAGACACGGUCCAGACUCCUACGGGAGGCGGCAGUAGGGAAUCUUCCGCAAUGGGCGAAAGCCUGACGGAGCAACGCCGCGUGAGUGAUGAAGGUCUUCGGAUCGUAAAACUCUGUUAUUAGGGAAGAACAAAUGUGUAAGUAACUAUGCACGUCUUGACGGUACCUAAUCAGAAAGCCACGGCUAACUACGU
rnacentral:rRNA from 1 species